rnacentral:rRNA from 1 species
UACGGGGGGGGCAAGCGUUGUUCGGAAUUACUGGGCGUAAAGGGCGCGUAGGCGGUGCUCUAAGUUAGAUGUGAAAACUCUGGGCUCAACCCAGAGCCUGCAUCUAAAAACUGGAGUGCUAGAGUUCUGGAGGGGGGUAGCGGAAUUCCUGGUGUAGCGGUGAAAUGCGUAGAUAUCAGGAGGAACACCGGUGGCGAAGGCGGCUACCUGGACAGAAACUGACGCUGAGGCGCGAAAGCUAGGGGAGCAAACAGG